ensembl:lncRNA
UCCUUUCACCAAAAAGAGCCAUUCAAAAAGAGCCGUUCGUUCGCGAACGACCCAUCACUAGUUCCAACGAGUCCCCUGUCGGUCAAUUGCCCUCUAUAUAUCACCAACACAACAUUGCUUGCUCAAUACAAAGAGAACGCGGAUUCAUAAAGGCGCACGGUGAUUUGUAUUUAUUUCUACUACCAUUGGAGCGGUCCAAGGUGCUGAAACAUGAAUCAAAGUGCGGGAGUAGCCCAAAAUGUUCGUCGUUACUCUUCUGAUGAUAAGAUGCCUGCCUUAUAACGGUCCAAACCAUCUCAAGUUUACAUCUAUUAAAGGAACGUUGAAGAUUCAUCAGGUUAUCAGUGUCUCACCAGGCCAGAUAAAAUACAGGGACAUUACUUGUCUGUGGAAGAAGGAUAGUGGUUGGACUGUCCUUGUUUUCAGCUCAAAGAGGCAUCUCUGGGUGACCCUGCAGCAUCUAACCAGCUCCCUGCAUCUCAUGACAAGGCUGACACCACAUGGCGACCUGGCACCAUUGAACUUAAUCACGUAGGGGAGUGGUGUGUUGUCAAUUAUGACCAUGAAGGAUACCCUGGCAUCAUCAUGGAUGUAGAGGAACAUAACAUUAAGGUGAAUUGCAUGCACCGGAAUGGCAUCAACAAAUUAUUCUGGCCAAGCCCAAAGGAAGAUAUUUGUUGGUACUCUGAUGGACAGAUAAUUUGUCUUAUGCCAGAGAUCGAAAAAGGGGAAGGGAGAGAGAGCGAGAGAGACGAACAGGAAUGUGUUUUAAUGCUAAUUCCAAUGAUUUUAUACCGGCAAUGCCUUUUUGUGUUGUUUUUCACAAUGAAUAUGUAACUAAAUAGCAGUUCCAAUGUUGUUACUACAUGUAUUACUAUGUAGAUGUCUAUUCAGUGUUCAGGGUUUAAUUUAAGUUCUGUUCCGUUAUAGCUGUCCACCCUGUUAUCUUGGCAUCUUUUUCAAAUUAAUUCAGUUACAGAGUAAGACAUGACCAACACCACACAAUCAUAAACUUGGAUAACAUAUAAUUAAUACCUGUCUCUAUUUAGAAAGAUAAGGUGCAAAUUAGAUUAAGUUCUGUAUAAAACCACAGAUUGUAUUCAAAAUCUGUUACAUCUUUAGAAUUUGACCAGCGCAAAUGGACAGGGUUGACAAGGGGACACACAUAGCUUCAUGAAAAUGUAUAUAUGAUUAAAAUAGUCUAAUGAAAGUAAUUAAAGACCGAUAAGUGCAUGUCCGUAACAGGGUGGACAUAUUGUAUGGCUGAUUCACUGUCAAUGUGUUCAUUAUUUUCUAACUCUUAGUGCUGGAGCUUGGCCAAAAUGUUUUUCUACACGUCUAAUAUUUCCUUUUUAUAGUAAAACUUAAAAGGAACACAAAUUCUGAAAUAAACAUUUAAAAUGUUGCAUGGUCCAAAUUGUACUGUUUUGUGAUAUUGACCCAUCAGAUGACCAGGCCUCCACAAUCACCCAACCUCAGCCCAAUUGAGAUGGUUUGGAC